UACGUAGGGUGCGAGCGUUAAUCGGAUUUACUGGGCGUAAAGCGUGCGCAGGCGGCCCGUUAAGACAGGUGUGAAAUCCCUGGGCUCAACCUAGGAAUUGCGCUUGUGACUGGCGGGCUCGAGUACGGUAGAGGGGGGUGGAAUUCCUGGCGUAGCAGUGAAAUGCGUAGAGAUCAGGAGGAACACCGAUGGCGAAGGCAGCCCCCUGGGCCUGUACUGACGCUCAUGCACGAAAGCGUGGGGAGCAAACAGG
rnacentral:rRNA from 1 species